CAAAUACUCCCUCCGUCCCAAAAUACUUGUCGGAUAAAUUGAUAAAAAUGGAUGUAUCUAGAACUAAAAUAUGUCUAGAUACAUCCAUUCCUCCGACGAGUAUUUCCGGACGGAGGGAGUACUAC
rfam:Triticum aestivum genome assembly, contig: Triticum_aestivum_CS42_TGACv1_scaffold_130167_2BL